rnacentral:piRNA from 1 species
UAAUGGGAUGUGAUGUUACUUCUGACAACUU